rnacentral:sRNA from 2 species
AUAUCUCUCUGUACGGGAAGGAUGAGAAGCUUCUACCAGGGUUCGAUUCGAGCGCAGCGAGAAAGCGUUGCCGCAGGCAACGACCCGAAGGGCGAAGCGCGCAGCGCUGAG